rnacentral:SRP_RNA from 1 species
CUCGUGGCUGCAAAGACGAAGAAGGCUCUCGAGGAGGGUCUGAAGGUUAUGCUCUGCAUUGGAGAAAAGAAGGAAGAGCGUGAGGCUGGA